rnacentral:rRNA from 1 species
CCUACGGGUGGCAGCAGUGGGGAAUAUUGGGCAAUGGGCGCAAGCCUGACCCAGCAAUGCCGCGUGAAGGAAGAAGGCUUUCGGGUUGUAAACUUCUUUGACAGGGGAAGAGCAGAAGACGGUACCCUGAAAACAAGCCACGGCUAAAUACGUGCCAGCAGCCGCGGUAAUACGUAGGUGGCAAGCGUUGUCCGGAUUUACUGGGUGUAAAGGGCGUGUAGCCGGGAAGGCAAGUCAGAUGUGAAAUCCGGAGGCUCAACCCCCGAAUUGCAGUUGAAACUGUUUGUCUUGAGUACUGGAGAGGUAUACGGAAUUCCUGGUGUAGCGGUGAAAUGCGUAGAUAUAGGGAAGAACACCAGUUGCGAAGGCGGUAUGCUGGA